UAUCAAAAUUGCAUCAAUUUGUAUUGUUAAAACUGACGUGACUGAUAGAAUAACUAGACCGUGACAUGUGACAUGCCAUGUGUACCUCAUGCUGUUGUACAAGGUCAUUUUUAACAACAAAAAUUGAUGAAAUUUUUAACA
rnacentral:pre_miRNA from 1 species